rnacentral:rRNA from 1 species
AGGAUGAACGCUGGCGGCGUGCCUAAAUACAUGCAAGUCGAGCGGUAAGGCCUCUUCGGAGGUACACGAGCGGCGGACGGCUGAGUAACACGUAGGAACGUACCCCAAAGUGAGGCAUAAGCACCAGAAAUGGUGUCUAAUACCGCAUGUGGCCUUAGGGCUAAAGCUCCGGCGCUUUGGGAACGGCCUGCGCAUGAUUAGCUUGUUGGUGAGGUAAUGGGCUCACCAAGGCGACGAUCAUUAGCUGGUCUGAGAGGAUGAUCAGCCAGACUGGGACUGAGAACGGCCCAGACUCCUACGGGAGGCAGCAGUAGGGAAUUUUCCACAAUGGGCGAAAGCCUGAUGGAGCAACGCCGCGUGCAGGAUGAAGGCCCUCGGGUCGUAAACUGCUUUUACGAGUGAAGAUUAUGACGGUAGCUCGUGAAUAAGGAUCGGCUAACUCCGUGCCAGCAGCCGCGGUAA